ACCCGGUGCGGCCCCUCGGCCUCGGCGGCAGCGGCUGCGGAGAAGGCGAGCGAAGGACACAGAGCACAGCCAAGACCUGCAGAGUGCCCUCAUCCGGCUGGAGGAGGAGCCGCAGAGGAGUGCCAGCCUGGCCCAGGUGAAAGCCAUGCUCCGAGAACAUCUGGACCAGGCAGGCUCGGCCAACCAGGCUCUGAGUGAGGACAUACAAAAGGUGACCAAUGACUGGACACGCAGCCGCAAGGAGCUGGAGCAGCG
rnacentral:lncRNA from 1 species